UACGUAGGGGGCGAGCGUUGUCCGGAUUUAUUGGGCGUAAAGAGCUCGUAGGCGGUCUGUCGCGUCGGAUGUGAAAAUCCAGGGCUCAACCCUGGACCUGCAUUCGAUACGGGCAGACUAGAGUUCGGUAGGGGAGACUGGAAUUCCUGGUGUAGCGGUGAAAUGCGCAGAUAUCAGGAGGAACACCGGUGGCGAAGGCGGGUCUCUGGGCCGAAACUGACGCUGAGGAGCGAAAGCGUGGGGAGCAAACAGG
rnacentral:rRNA from 1 species